UCCCAUAGCUUCAUUCUCAUCCUCUGAUGUGUCUGCCGCAUCAACUUCAUCCUCUAAAGCUGGUGGUAAAAUAAAGCCCAGUCCACGAGGAUGUGAAUCACCUCCUGCCUAUACAGAAUACUGCACUAUCAUUCUAGAGUAUAGCAACACAAGCGGAAUCUAUGUGGGCUCAUCGUCGGACCAUCUCACACCCGUUUGGUGGCACAACCCACAUAUGAUUGAUGUAUGUGGCAAGCCGCCCGAGAAAUUUCCACGUAAACACCGGCUGAUGGAAAAAUAGAUAAUGGCCCCGACGUCGAUGAUGAAAUCUUGCACAAUUGCGUACAGCAGUAACACCUUCUCUUUGGUCACGUCCGAGGUUUGUUGGGAUGGAUACAGUUUAGCGCAUAAGAAUGCGUACCAAAUUUUUCCAUCCCAACUGAGGUCAUUGUUGUG
rnacentral:lncRNA from 1 species